rnacentral:rRNA from 1 species
GACGAACGCUGGCGGCGUGCUUAACACAUGCAAGUCGAACGGUGAAGCGCCUUCCUUUUUGGUGGGUGUGGAUGAGUGGCGAACGGGUGAGUAACACGUGAGUAACCUGCCCCCUUCUUCUGGAUAACCGCAUGAAAGUGUGGCUAAUACGGGAUAUUCUGGGUCUGUCGCAUGAUGGGUCUGGGAAAGAUAUUGUUUCGGUGGGGGAUGGGCUCGCGGCCUAUCAGCUUGUUGGUGGGGUGAUGGCCUACCAAGGCGGUGACGGGUAGCCGGCCUGAGAGGGUGGACGGUCACACUGGGACGGAGACACGGCCCAGACUCCUACGGGAGGCAGCAGUGGGGAAUAUUGCACAAUGGGCGCAAGCCUGAUGCAGCGACGCCGCGUGAGGGAUGGAGGCCUUCGGGUUGUGAACCUCUUUCGCCGGUGAAGCAGGCCUGCCUCGUUUGUGGGUGGGUUGACGGUAGCUGGAGAAGAAGCGCCGGCUAACUACGUG